rnacentral:rRNA from 1 species
CAGCGCCGCGGUAAUACGUAGGGUGCGAGCGUUAAUCGGAAUUACUGGGCGUAAAGCGUGCGCAGGCGGUUGUGUAAGACAGGUGUGAAAUCCCCGGGCUUAACCUGGGAACUGCGCUUGUGACUGCACAGCUAGAGUAUGGCAGAGGGGGGUGGAAUUCCACGUGUAGCAGUGAAAUGCGUAGAGAUGUGGAGGAACACCGAUGGCGAAGGCAGCCCCCUGGGCCAAUACUGACGCUCAUGCACGAAAGCGUGGGGAGCAAACAGGAUUAGAUACCCCUGUAGUCCCUGUCUCUUAUACC